CGGCUAUAGCCUCUCAGUGAAGCUCCACCCCCCUGUCUCUAGAAGCAGGCACACACCUGUGCCGCUUUAGGAGUUGAUUUAUCGAGCGCACCCAGGAUCUCUCUGUAGGCAUUGUGUCCCAGUGUGGCUAGAGAGCAGGUAUUUUAAGUCACCUGUUGUCCAGACCUCAUCAGCUGAAUACCCUGUUGUGCUAAAGGUUCACCACAGAGAAGGAAGUGGUUAACGCUGAGUGGGCCUAAACAUCCGAUCCAUAAGCAAGGUGGAGUCAGAGCUGGGUUGACUACUUACUGCAUUGUGUGAGGUGGCUGCGCGCCGGUGUGAGUGGUGUCAAAGCACCUGGGUGGCCCACAGGUAACCCCGCACCGGCAGAUCUGGUCCCUGUAGAUGCUGAGGCGUUUUUAACAAUGUGCUUUUAUCCCUCCCCGCAUCUCUGGCAGUAUUGGCAUCCACAUCUUAUUUGUUUUUAUUGUUGUGCUUGUGCAGCGAAUAAAAUUGCCCAAAGCCUGAUCUUUUUAAUUGUUUAAAUAAAUCUUCCUUCCGGUUGAAACUCA